AUGGCGACCGACAGGCGGAUCCAGCCGGCCGGGGGAGGCGGGUCGUCGGCCAGAGGAGGAGGGGGAGGCGUGGAGCCCGGGCUCGGGAGGCGCCUGCUGGACGUGCUGCGCACCGUCUACCACAUGCUGCGCCGCGGCCUCUGCCGCAAGCGCCUCAUGAUGGACCUCCACCUGCUGCUCGGCCGCGGCAAGCUCGCCGGCAGGCACUUCCGGGACCUCCUCGCCCACCAGCCGCUCGCCGGGGGCACCCGCUUCGGCGCCGCGGCCGCGGCCGGCGCCUCCCCGUCCGCGCUCUCCAUGUACCAGCACGACCCGAGAGACGUUGAGUUCAGCUGCGGCAGCACGCCGGUCCACGAGCAGGCCGUCUUCCCCUUCAAGAUCGGCCGCGGCCGCGGCCGGGGCAGGAGCUACGGCGGGCUGGACGCCGCCACCGUGGCGGCCGCCUUCGAGAUGAUGAACGCGCACGCUGCGGGCAACUCGGGCGGGGACACGCCGGGGGUGUCCCGGGCCACGCCGUCGCCCAUGCUGGCGCUCAGCCUGGGCCGCUGCCCGGCCGGGGCGCGCCAGCUGCGCGUCACCGACUCGCCGUUCCCCGUCGAGCCGGAGGGCGUCGACGAGCGCGUGGACGCCGAGGCCGACAGCUUCAUCAAGAGGUUCUACGAGCAGCUCAAGAUGCAGCAGUCCACCACGCCGGACAACUGCACCCGCCGCCGUGGCUAG
rnacentral:rRNA from 1 species